ACGAGUUGCACAAGCCUCCAUCUCCAUUCUUAUCUUCAAGAACAUAGCCCAGAUCUCUAUCUCUCCACACUUACCCAACUUUCCCCUUCCCUUUCACCUCCCCAUCCCACUCCACCCUCGCUCCUACCAAAUACACUCCUAGAGCUGCAUCGUAGUUCCAGAACCAAAAGAGAUGCCAUAAUCUAUUUUGCUGCUUUAUCCAACUCACAGGGUCCAAAUGGAGGGAGCAAGACGCUUAUGCUCCUCAUGGGAAGGAAAGAAGGCAAGAACUAGUAAAUUGGCAGCACGACAACUCAAUGAGAAGCUAGACACAGUCGUCAAAGAUAGUGAGGCAGAAGAAAACAACAAUACACAGCCCCUGCAAAGUGCCACCAAAAAAACAUUUGCUACACCAAGGAACUCCACAAAAAGGAUUGCAGGGGUCAUGGCGAAAUGGGAAGGGAAGAAGGCAAGAAUGAGUAAAUUGACAGCUCAACAACUCAAUGAGAAGCUAGACACAAUCGUUGAAGAUAGUGAGGCAGAAGAAGACGGCAAGACACAACCCCCGCAAAGUGCUGCCAAAAAAACAUCUGCUACAUCAAGAGGCUCCACAAAAAGGAUUGCAGGUGUCGUGGCCAAAUGGGUCAAUACUUCGAAGCCCAAGCUCCUCCAUGAGAUGGCUUUCCAGGGAGUGCUCGAUCUCCCAAAAAUCAACACGGUUGACCCAGAAUUCAGUUUUUGGUUGCUGAGGAGGGUUGAUCCCACAAAACGCAUCCUCUGGAUUGACGACAUAACAUACGUUCCAAUACGCCAUGUUGAUUACAGUAGGGUGUUGGGAAUCCCCUGUGGCAAGCUUCCAGUCUGCGGACUUGAUUCAAAAGAUCCAGAAGACAAGAUUGAUUUCAUCAACUUGUGUAUAGGCAGAACAUGUGGCAAACAGGAGUACUGUAGCCUCAAAGCUGCUGAGCUCAAUGUAGAGAAACAAUAUCAUGAACCCAUGGACAAGGUGCAGUGCGACAACUUCAAAGUGUCCUUUGUGGUAUGGUUGGUCUGCAGGUGGCUCGCACCGAUCAAGAAACCGAACAAUGGCAGUGAAACAUUCUGGGGUGCUCUGUUAAAACCAGACGAGAUAUCCUGCUACAAUUGGUGCGCCUUUGCUCUGAUGCUGUCCACAAAUUCCAGCACGAUAUAACAUCGAAGAUCAAGAUUGGUGAUUUGUCUCUUUGCCCCAUGUUCCUCCAAGUAGAUUCUUUAACACCUCUCUUAAUACUCAGUCUCUUUGCCCCCAUGUACUGUUGGCGCUAACCUGGCUGCGAUGAGUGUCAGAUAUUUUUUUCUUGACUAUGUGAAGAACGGGGGCCUGUAUCAGCCUGCAAGGAUCCCCCGCAUAGCCGACUAUGAGAACCAUACAAUUAGCUCCAUGAUUCAGGCCUUAAACGAGAAGUUGCAACGAGAAGCUGUUUUGAAUAACACAAUUAAGGAAAGCGAGGCCUGCACCUUGAAUUCUUUUCAGAAAGCAAUAGGGGCAUCCAAGCUGCCGACAAAGAGAAAAAUUGCACUCAGAUGGUAUGGUGCAAGGUUGCAGAGACACAUACUCCUGUUCCGAAGCUCAAUAUUCAGAGAUGCCAGUGCGUUAGUCGAGAAGCUCGAAGCCGAAGAGGGUACUGGCGAUGAAGGAUCGGGCAGUCUAGGUAUCAAGAGGAUUGCUGAUGGAUACACACGCGGAUCAGAACACAUGACAGAAGAUGGAUCUGGUCCACGUAAGGAGUCAGCAUUUCGAGACAAAUCUUUUCCAACUUUUUCACUUGGCUUGUCCGAUGAUGACGAAGAUGAACCAACACCUGGACGGCUACCCAGUGGAUAUCCCUUCGUGCAGCAUCAAUAUCUGCAAAGUCCCCUACAAGGCGGAGCAGCACUACGGGUUCAUACGAUUUAUGGAGAAAAUCUCCAGCGCCAAGUACCUGCAUCUGCACCACCGGUGCCUCUGGUGCAGAUCCUUCGAGGGUUUCCCCUCGUGUCCUUUCCUGACGCGGUUGGCGCUGCAAAGUGGUGAGCGGGAUGCUGGAGCAGACACGAAACCUGAGCACCCUCUUGUUUUUUCAUUUAGUUCUUCAUGGUCCCCAACAACCUCGUGUCUCCCAAUGAGGCAAGCUUCGCCCGGUCCCGUGCUUGCCGAGUCAGGUGAGGGAUAUCAACAUGGUUCAUUACCAGAGUGACGAACUGCAGAGGAUGACGGCCAGGUUCUUGUACCGGAAUGCCCAUGUUCUCAAGAGGUGCGUUGUCCUGGUGAAGGGGCCAUUUGCGUUGCAAGAUGCACUGUGCACUCAGGAGAAAGGAGGGAGCGGAGGAGGAACCGGAUGAAGACCACUUUUAUUGGGAUGGUGCUAGUAGUGACUCUAGCUCUCUUCUAUGUAAUGGUAGUUUAGGUGAUCGACCUUGUGUAACCACUAGCUCAUUUGUGACUUUGUAACCCCGUAACUUGUCUAAUAUUUGAAAUCUUGUGAAUCAUGGAUGCUAAUGUGAAGAACUAUGUAUUCAUA